rnacentral:rRNA from 1 species
UGGGGAAUAUUGCACAAUGGGCGCAAGCCUGAUGCAGCCAUGCCGCGUGUAUGAAGAAGGCCUUCGGGUUGUAAAGUACUUUCAGCGAGGAGGAAGGCGUUGUGGUUAAUAACCGCAACGAUUGACGUUACUCGCAGAAGAAGCACCGGCUAACUCCGUGCCAGCAGCCGCGGUAAUACGGAGGGUGCAAGCGUUAAUCGGAAUUACUGGGCGUAAAGCGCACGCAGGCGGUCUGUCAAGUCGGAUGUGAAAUCCCCGGGCUCAACCUGGGAACUGCAUCCGAAACUGGCAGGCUAGAGUCUUGUAGAGGGGGGUAGAAUUCCAGGUGUAGCGGUGAAAUGCGUAGAGAUCUGGAGGAAUACCGGUGGCGAAGGCGGCCCCCUGGACAAAGACUGACGCUCAGGUACGAAAGCGUGGGGAGCAAACA